rnacentral:rRNA from 1 species
CCUACGGGAGGCAGCAGUGGGGAAGUCUUGCGCAAUGGGCGAAAGCCUGACGCAGCCAUGCCGCGUGUAUGAUGAAGGUCUUAGGAUUGUAAAAUACUUUCACCGGGGACGAUAAUGACGGUACCCGGAGAAGAAGCCCCGGCUAACUUCGUGCCAGCAGCCGCGGUAAUACGAAGGGGGCUAGCGUUGCUCGGAAUUACUGGGCGUAAAGGGAGCGUAGGCGGACAGUUUAGUCAGAGGUGAAAGCCCAGGGCUCAACCUUGGAAUUGCCUUUGAUACUGACUGUCUUGAGUGUGGGAGAGGUGAGUGGAACUCCGAGUGUAGAGGUGAAAUUCGUAGAUAUUCGGAAGAACACCAGUGGCGAAGGCGACUCACUGGCCCAUUACUGACGCUGAGGCUCGAAAGCGUGGGGAGCAAACAGGAUUAGAUACCCUGGUAGUCCACGCCGUAAACGAUGAGUGCUAGUUGUCGGCAUGNAUGCAUGUCGGUGACGCAGCUACGACAUAAGUACACUCCGCCGUCGGGAGGUACGGUCGCGAGAAUUAAACUAACGAACGAAGUAGACGGCGNGAGACGUGCCGACGGACGACGACGAGGGAGGAGG